CCUACGGUGUGCAGCAGUGAGGAAUAUUGGUCAAUGGGCGAGAGCCUGAACCAGCCAAGUCGCGUGAGGGACGACGGUCCUACGGAUUGUAAACCUCUUUUAUCAGGGAGCAAGGAGCGCCACGAGUGGUGCGGCGAGAGUACCUGAAGAAAAAGAAUCGGCUAACUCCGUGCCCGCAGCCGCGGUAAUACGGAGGAUGCGAGCGUUAUACGGAUUUAUUGGGUUUAAAGGGUGCGCAGGCGGACGCGGAAAUGAAUCGGUAAAGUUGCGGGGCUAAACCUCGACGAGCCGUUGAAACUGCUCUUCUAGAGUGGGCGAGAGGUGUGCGGAAUGCGUGGUGUAGCGGUGAAAUGCAUAGAUAUCACGCAGAACUCCGAUUGCGAAGGCAGCAGACCGGCGCCCAACUGACGCUCAUGCACGAAAGCGUGGGUAUCGAACAGGAUUAGAUACCCCAGUAGUC
rnacentral:rRNA from 1 species